rnacentral:ncRNA from 1 species
CUACCCCCGUUCAGGGUGUACUUCCGCCUGAGUUUAGGGAAAUAUAGGGACGGAAGAGAAGAAACUUACAGGGAUUCCCCUAGUAACGGCGAGCGAACCGGGAACAGCCCAGCUUGAGACCCGGGCGGCUGUGCCGUCCGAAUUGUAGUCUGGAGACGCGUCCUCAGCGACGGACCGGGCCCAAGUCCCCUGGAAAGGGG